AGCCCGGGACAGCGCUGCACCUGUUGCCACGUGCGACGCGGCGCUCAGCGGCUGCCACUGCCGCCGGCGCACCUGGCUGCACCGCGCGUCCCGGGACCACGCUCGUCCCCGCAGGAGCCCGGGGCUCCGCCGCACCCAGCGCUAGGGCCCAGGCCGGGCCGCGGUAGGUGGGGGAUCUGACUCCUGCUUGCCUCUGGCCACCUGCAGGCCGAGGGGCCUCGCACCGCGGGGCGUAUAGAAGGUGGGAAGGUUGCAGAAUUAUCAGGGCGGAAGCUUGCAAGGAAGGAGUCGUGAUUGUCUCUUAGAAGGGCUGAUUCGCAGUCUGUAUUAUCUUCAUGCUUCUAGCAAGUUUACUAGCAAGUGUGUAUUAAAGGUUAAAGAAAGUAGCUUUCCAGCUAUUAGAGCUUGAGAUACAACGUGGAAAGGAGUCUAGAACCCCAGGGAGAUAAACUAGGCUCGACCUACUUUUCUCUAAACACAAACACAGUCCUUGCUGUUUGCUAAACUGAGCAAAUUUCAUCGACAGCUGUCUUCUAGGUCCGUAAAAUAUUUUCUUCUAUAAAGCAUAUUUUUAAUAGAAAACUUGUCCGAAGAUGCUAUUCUGCCUGUGAGAGAUGUCACAUUGCUGAACCGUGAAAUGUCAGACAACCUGAGAACAAAAUUUUAAUAUUUCCUUUUUAAUUACCUGGAUUGUGGUUUGCUAAAAGCUUUUAAAGAGAAGUGAACUUUUUUGGAGAAUAGACGUAAGGACUCUGUAUUUCACAGUUUUCUAUACCAUGAAUAUUAGAAUAACUGACAGAUGUCUUGCCAUUGAUAGUUGUAAAGACUUUUCAUAUGUACAAUGAUCCAUUAUUUCCUGACUACAAAACCCAGGGGUAUAUAGGUCAGAUUAUCUCCAUUAUUCAAAUGAGGAAUUGAAGCUCAGAAAGGUCAAGUGACUAGCGCAAGGUCACACAGCCAGUGAGGGCAAGUGCAAACCCAGCCAGCCUAACUCCUAAUCUUCUCUUUUAAUUCCAUUACAUAAUGACACCUCUCAUUUGCUUCAGAAAUCCCUGUUGUAAAGAUAGAUGCAACUAGCAUGAUCCGUGUUGUUAGGAAAGGCAUGUGAUUAAUUUUAAAUAGAUAUAGUAUUUAACACCACCAGAUGAGUCUCCCUCUGAAAAAGCACACAAAAACAAAACAAAACGCUGACAUAGUUUCCGCAAGUCACGAGGCAAUUAUGCUAAUUAGCAACAAGCCUCCAUCCCUAAGCAGAAUAGUUCUUGUGUGAAACAUAUCAUUUAAUCUUUAUAACCCUGAUGUGACCUAGAUGAUUUGGUCUAAACCCCACAAUCCUAUUGUGUGGCUUAGUUAUAUCUAUAAAUAUAGAACCUGUUUUACUUCAUUUUUGUGUCAGGUGGUUUGAAGGGGGGAAACAUACAAUGCUCUGCUAAGUAAUUAGAGCUACUUACGCAGGCAUUGGGGAAUCUGAAACUUAGCUUCUAAUUGUCUCCACAUAAAAACAGAAGUUAACUUCUAGGGACAUCUUCAGGGACUCCUCAAGGCAAAUAUUCAUGAAAUGGGGCCUAUUGGCUUUUCUUUUCAUCUUGGUUCUGGGCAUGUUGCCAUGUUCCUGAUCUCUGAACUCUGAUGCUGACCUGCUACAGACUCCAGGAGCAAUAUUAAGGAUAAAAUAAUAACUCACAUAACUUUGUGGCUCUUUAUUCUAAAAAAAAAAAAAAAAGUUGGCUCAAUUUUUUUUCCUCCAUAAGAAAAUGCAAAUUGCAACUGUAUUGAGAAACCAUUUUUUCACUUAUCAGAUUGUCAAAGAUUAGAAAGUUUGAUAAUCACAGUGUUGGUAAAAGUGUAGACUAGCAGUCACAAUGAAAAUGUAAAUGUAAAUUAUAAUGACCUCCCUAGGGGGAAGGUCAGGAUACCUAACAAUAUUGCAACUAUACGUAUAAGAGUUUAUCUUGGCCCUGCGUGGUGGCACGGUGACUCAUGCCUGCAAUCCCAGCACUUGGGGAGGCCGAGGCGGGCAGAUCACCUGAGGUCAGGAGUUGGAGACCAGCCUGGCCAACAUGGUGAAACCCUGUCUCAACUAAAAAUACAAAAAUUAGCCAGACAUGAUAGCAGGCGCCUGUAAUCCCAGCUACUUGGGAGGCUGAGGCAGGAGAAUCCCUUGAACCUGGAAAGCGAAGUUUGCAGUGAGCCGAGAUUGUGACACUGCACUCCAGCCUGGGCAACGCACCGCGACUCUGUCUCAAAAAAAAAAAAAGAGUUUAUCUUACAACACACAGGAGAAAUGGCAUCUAGAACACUGAGAAAUCCAGGAUGGACACUUAACACUACCAAAGAUUGAUCUAUUUUGGAGUUAGUUCUUUAGAUCAGAGGUCCCCAACCCCAGGACUGCGGACUGCCACUGGUCUUUGGCCUGUCAGGCACCCGGCCACACAGCUGGAGUGUGAAAAAAAAGGAAAAAACUGAAAAUCUCAAGAGGAUUCCAGGAAAUCAAAACAAUGAAUUAUUGAAUCAAGAAUUUGAAAGAGAAAAUAGAUGCAUACUGAAAAAAGAAUUUUGUUUAGUGAGAUAGAUGUAAUAAUGAAGGCAUGUUGAUAACGGGGGAGCUAUGUAUAUAUGAGGGGAGGGAUAUAUUGGAAAUCUCUGUAUCUUCCUCUCAAUCUUGCUGUGAUCCUAAAACUGCUCUAAAAAAUAUUUUGAGAAGGAAUAAUGAUGUGGUAAACAUGUUCUGUUAUUUAAAAAGAGAGACUUUUCAUAGCCGCCUCCCUCCCCCUCUACACACACACAGAGUCCUGUCCGUCUUCAUUCCCUUACUCAAUAAUUUGUACAGACACAGCCACUGGGCUCCAGUAAUCCUAAAGUUUCUAGAAAAUCAAGCACAGAAAAAGGUUAAAACCCUGAGGGAAUAAAAGAAUUCCUUUGCAUCCAUUGCAUUUCUCAGGAAGUGAACUAACAAAUUCACUGCUUUUAAAUGAGGAAAUUUUCUCAGUGAAAUUGAUUCCAAACCUUCGUUAGGUCAACUGUUCCCAGAUUUCUUAGCUGAUGCCUGAUCUGACUAUUCCUUAUCUUUAGUACAGAAACCAAGGUGAAUGACCUUUAAAAAACAUAUUAGACUGUUGACGUGUCUUCUAUGUUGUACUCUAGGUAAAAACGAUAAACCAGGAAAAAGAAAGUAAAAUUCAACCUUAGGCUCAUGGAUCCAGAGUGGAUAAUUAUGAGUCUGUAGUAUCUACAUGCAUGUGAUGAGGUUCAAGGACAAUAACCAUAAAGCAAAGACUUAAAAGGUUUUAUCAUUAGAAUAAUUGUAAUUCACUUGAUCUCUCAAUGUAACAAUACUUCGGUCUACUGUCUCAAGCCAUUAUUAUGUCUUACACUCAGCAUAUUGGUUUGUCUACCAUUAAAUAUUUAUUUUCUACAGUGCUUUCUGGAAGGCAAACAAAGCAGCCACUCUGCUACUUUAUAUUGAUUCCUGAGUUGUCCUUCGGAAACGCUUUCAGGAAGUUUAAUAGGUUUGAAAGAUAUUUAGACCUGUGACUGGCAAAUAUACUUCCUUCUUUUUAUUUCAAUAAGAGAGUACUAGAACUUAGAUCUUUAUUGUUUAAUCUAGUCAGUGCUGUCAUUGUCAAUCAAGUUCUCAAAUGACACUUGUCCUGAGCUGUAACUGAUCUAUUCAGAAGAAUAUGAAAAUAGUAAAGACGGCAACUAUGCAUGUUUUUACCGGACACGAUUUUAAUUGCUUUAAAAUGAAGUUAUGCAACCAAUGAGGAAUGGAGCUUUUGGAGUGGCCUGAAGCUAAAGGUUUCAGGUGUAUUUUUGCUUUCUUUGAAGAAAGAACCAAAUCAUUUUAUUUAAUAAAAAGGCCAUUUAUCAAGAAUUUCUUAAAGCUGUUUUAAACCUGAGUUUGCAAUUUAUAGAAUAUGUUCAAGCAGCCUCAGUGCCCUUUUAAUUGGAUGGUUUUCACAGAUUUAUCCAAUUUGAGAUUUAUCCAGUGAGAAUUCCCUUUGUUCAAGUAUAUAUGUCUUCUCUUCCAUAAAGCAGAUUCAAAUGAAAGAGUGCAAUCUGAUAUAUCAGACAUGUCAGUUAUACAUUUGAUGUGGUAAAUUUAUAAGAGAGGCCAAUUAUUGUUAUGAAAAAAUACAAUGAAAUACAUGAUAGUCAUUUACUGUUUUUAUAACUAAUCUAAAAGUAUUUACUAAAAAGAAACUAUUUCUUUUCAUAUGUACUUUACUUUUUACUUUAACCCUUCAUAUGUCCUUUAAAUAAAGAGAAGAAAAAAAGUCAUUUAUAUUUAUCCACAUAUUUUCUAUUUCAGGUGGUCCUCAUUCAUUCUUGUAGAUCCAAGUUACCAUCUGUUAUUAUUUUCUUUGUCACCUGAAGAAUUUUCAGAACUAUUUCUUCCUAUAUGUAGCAUGUAUAGAUACUCUAAAAAGUCCAUUAUAUGAUGUAUAAAACAAAGCAUACAAUGUAGUCUC
rnacentral:lncRNA from 1 species